GUAAAUCUGUAGCAUACAGCUAUAGAAUUGUAAUCUAAAGGCUUUUUAGGGAAGUCAUGGUUCUAGCAUAAGUUCCUUGAAAAGGGAUGUCAUAGAGGGUAAAAGCCCCGUACUUGGCUAGGACCGGACGUACCGAAGGGCUCCAAGAGUCGGGUUGUUUGGGAUUGCAGCCCUAAUUGGGAGAUAAACUUCUUCUAAAGCUAAAUAUUUAUGGGAAACCGAUAGCAAACAAGUACUACGAAGGAAAGAUGAAAAGAACUUUGAAAAGAGGGUUAAAAGACUUGAAAUCGUUGAGAAGAAAAGCGGUAGAAGAGAAAUGAUUUUGCUGAGCAGUAUGUGGCUUUGCGUUGCUUUCUGGGGGAACAGUACUUCAUAGGGCUUACCCUUAGACCAGUUGGCGCAUUGUUGCUUUUGCUCAGUGAAGUGCAAAAUGAGGUCUCGUUCUUGGAAACGUGCGCAUGAAGACUCUGCCCUUGAUGGUGGAAGCAUGCGUAACUCACUUGAACUUGGCCUGAGGGCUCCUUCUGGAGAUUUUGCAAAAAAGGCUUCUACUGACCCGUCUUGAAACACGGACCAAGGAGUCUACCCCAUAUGCGAGUUUUAGGGUGGAAAAACCCGAAAGCGCAACGAAAGUGAGUAUAAGGUGCGAGUCCGCAAGGAUGCAGCAUCGACCAACCUUGAUUUUCGAAUGAAAGGAUUGAGUAAGAGCAUAUUUGGUAGGACCCGAAAGAUGGUGAACUACGCUUGAGUAGGGCGAAGCCAGGGGAAACUCUGGUGGAGGCUCGAAGCGUUACUGACGUGCAAAUUCGAUC
rnacentral:rRNA from 1 species